UACGUUCCGGGCCUUGUACACACCGCCCGUCACACCACGAAAGUCGGCAAUACCCGAAGCCGGUGGCCUAACCCGUAAGGGAGGGAGCCGUCGAAGGUAGGGUCGAUGAUUGGGGUG
rnacentral:rRNA from 1 species